rnacentral:rRNA from 1 species
UACAGAGGGGGCAAGCGUUGUUCGGAAUUACUGGGCGUAAAGGGCGCGUAGGCGGCCUGUUAAGUCGAACGUGAAAUCCCCGGGCUCAACCCGGGAACUGCGUCCGAUACUGGCAGGCUUGAAUCCGGGAGAGGGAUGCGGAAUUCCAGGUGUAGCGGUGAAAUGCGUAGAUAUCUGGAGGAACACCGGUGGCGGAAGGCGGCAUCCUGGACCGGUAUUGACGCUGAGGCGCGAAAGCCAGGGGAGCAAAACGGGG